UACGUAGGGUCCGAGCGUUGUCCGGAAUUACUGGGCGUAAAGAGCUCUUCGGUGGUUUGUCGCGUUGUUCGUGAAAACUCACCGCUUAACUGUGGGCGUGCGGGCGAUACGGGCAGACUGGAGUACUGCAGGGGAGACUGGAAUUCCUGGUGUAGCGGUGGAAUGCGCAGAUAUCAGGAGGAACACCGGUGGCGAAGGCGGGUCUCUGGGCAGUAACUGACGCUGAGGAGCGAAAGCGUGGGGAGCAAACAGG
rnacentral:rRNA from 1 species